rnacentral:sRNA from 1 species
GCACCAGGUAGGGCCCCAGGGAGGAGACUGGGCUUGGUUCUGAUUUAACUCAUGAGAAAUACCAGGAAGUUCUGAGGAAGAUGAAAGAGGAAAAGGAGACGCUGCUUCUUGAAAAACAAAUAUCCAAAGCCCAGAAUGACUCCUCUCAAACAGUGAAACCGGGAUCAAUUUUGGCGGACACCACCCAAAGAAACAUGGCAAGUUUUUCCUAUUCCAAACCUGGGUUUUCCUCUAUCCCUUCCCUCUCCUAGGUUCUCUCUCUCUCUCUCUCUCCCUCCUCUUUAAUAAUCCUAUAAUUAGGAAAUAAUGAGGUUUAGUUCCUACCCCACACCAUGGAAGCUAGGAGGUGGCAGAGCCAGAAUUCAAACCCAGGCAUCCUGACUCCAGGGUCUCUGCUCUUCUGCCUCUCUGUGAACACACGAAAAGCCAUAGCUGUGAUUUUUCAUUGCUUCCCACAGGAGAGGACCACCAUUAAGAAACAGGAGAGAAGGUGUUGGUACAAGUAAGCGGAAGAAUCUUGCUUUUACCUAGCCUAGACCACAUUUCACUCUACACAUUACCUGAUAAGGGCCAAAAGAACAAGAAUAAACACAUCAUCCACUGAUCAGAAUACAUAAGGCAGCCCCAAAUUUCUCCCAACCAUUCUUACUUUUCUCAAUGCAGAAUUAUAACACCAGAGUUAAACAGCAGCUAUAAAUAGCUGGAGAAAUGUGUGGCUAUUUCUGAGAAAUUUGGGAUAAAGAUGUAGGUUGCAUUUAACUUUUAAUUUUCAUUCUUAUGAUCCUAGGUAUAGCACCUUUCCAUUUUUUCAAGUCCUGAGCUUGAUUACCUCUGUGAUAUUCCUUGUUGGGAAAAAAGUUCAGGGUGCAUUAAUUUUCUUAGUUAUCUUCAUGCUUAGAAAUUUUAGAAAAAAGAUCCUUAAACUCUCUGUGCCUUUGCUUUUUUAAUUUUUGAAACAAGAAUAUUGACCCUGAAGAGCUUCAAGUGGCACUUUAAUAAAAAGCCCCAUUCCCUACUUUCCCUUAUCAACUUUGCCUGAAGAAAGCAAUUCACCAGCCAUUUAUGACUGUGAGGUUUGCCUUUCACUGCUUGACCUCGGGCUGUCUUUUUUCUCAUGCAAAUAAUGAACAUCUCUUUGCAGGUAUUUCCAGUAUCUCACCUUCAUGGUCUUAGUCUUUAUUAGGUUGCUGGCUUAUGUGAUUUUCCACCUGCAGUACAUAAACCCAGAUCUUCUCGUGGAUGUCCUGCCCCUGGUGCUGAGCAGGGGCACCUUGGAGAGUCUGAGGAAGGUCUCACAUCCCUUCCUCACUCUAGCAGUGGAAGAAGCACUACCACACUAGUCUGGGGUGACCUGCGGGCAUCACCCCACACCUGAGUGGAGGUGACCGUGGCUGUGGCCCCAUGUUGGGGAUGGCCAGGAAGGAUGUGGAAGCCUUUGACUCAGAGCCGCUACUUGACAUCUGAGUUUUUCAUUUCAUUCUUUCCCUGCUUUCCCUCUGGAAUGUCUCUCUUUCAAGUAAAGAAUAUGUCUGACGAGA